ACUGUAUCUAGUGUUCGAGGUCUGACGAUUCUAAUGAGUUGUCAGCUAAGAGGGAAGCCGGUGCGCUUUGUCUUUGAGGCAAAUCCGGCGCUGCCCCCGCAACUGUGAACGGUGAGCCGUUGUCCAAAAGCCACUGGGAUAUCCCGGGAAGGUGGAUGACUUAGCUUUGACCCGUGAGCCAGGAGACCUGCCUUGGAUGAAACACGUCA
rnacentral:ncRNA from 2 species